AAGUCGUAACAAGGUCUCCGUAGGUGAACCUGCGGAGGGAUCAUUACACAAUACAAUAUGAAGGCCGUACGCGGCUGGAUUAUUUUAUUACCCUUGUCUUUUGCGCACUUGUUGUUUCCUGGGCGGGUUCGCCCGCCACCAGGACCACACCAUAAACCUUUUUUAUGCAGUUGCAAUCAGCGUCAGUACAACAAAUGUAAAUCAUUUACAACUUUCAACAACGGAUCUCUUGGUUCUG
rnacentral:misc_RNA from 1 species